AACCAAUCAAUGGUCACACGUCAGCACCAUCUCAAUGGAAUUCUUCCGCUUCCAGAGUAUACUCCAACGGUAAGUAAAUGUAGAGUAGACCGUAGAGUGUAGACACCACGAAUCCACGAUGCUCCUGCGAUCUGUAAGCCUAAGCCAUGGAUAUGAAACUUUAACUCUAAGACUUAGACCUAAUCGUCCUGCAAAGAACAGACUAUCAAAGAUCAUCAAAUCUUGCGCUCCCAGAAAGGACCUUCAAGGCCAAUCCGUUGCUAUCAUUGGUCUGGGAAAAUCUGGAAGAGCUGCAGCUAGGCUUGCUCUUGCAAGAGGUGCUUCAGUUCUCGCAAUUGAUGAAAAUAAGAAUUUGGGUCUGUUAGAGCAAGAUCCUCUUUUUGAAGAGUAUAGUGGUUUGAGAACAAUUCUUGGAAACCUUGAUGUACAGCUACUUAAGGAUGUCGAUUUGGUGGUUGUUUCCCCUGGAGUUCCACCAGAAAAUUAUGGUCUAUCCACAUUGUUGGAGUCAGGACAGCGGAUAAUGUCUGAGUUGGAUUUUGCUGCAGAAAUUCUUCCAAAAGAUAUCAAGAUUUUAGCAGUGACUGGAACCAAUGGAAAAUCAACUGUAGUUACUUUUGCUGGGCAGAUGCUUAAUCAUUUUGGCAUUGAGGCGUUUGUUGGGGGAAACCUUGGAAAUCCACUCUCGGAGGCUGCUUUUCUGUGCUUAUCACCUUCUAUGAAGCCUGGGUUUCAGGUGAGUCUGAUUGUUGCUGUUGUGGAGGUUAGCAGUUAUCAAAUGGAAAUUCCCAACAAGUACUUCUGCCCUUCAGUUGCUGCUGUGUUAAACCUUACCCCUGAUCAUUUAGAAAGGCACAAGACAAUGAAGAAUUAUGCAAUGACCAAGUGCAGUUUACUUUCUCACAUGACUGGCACCAAACUGGGACUUCUUUGUUUCGGAAAUCAGCAUUUGAAUGAAGCUGUUAGGGAACAUGCUGAAAAUUUUAAUCUUGCUUGGAUAGGAGCCUUUCCUGGAGUGAAAGUCAUUGCUUGUUUGCAACAGAUCAACAUUGAGACAAAAAUUGCCAGCUUGGAAGUUCCUACCAUGGGAGUUGUCUCACAACUACAAUUGGAUGCAAUGAAAGUAAUGGGAACGCACAACUAUUAUAAUGCUGCAGUGGCUGCAUUAUGUGUUCUCGGACUUGAUCUUGGACUUGAUGCUAAUGGUAUGAGUUCAACAAUUGAAAAUUUAAGGGCACCACCGCAUCGGAUGGAAAUUGUACACAGGGAUGCCAAUGGGGUAACAUGGGUUGAUGACAGUAAGGCAACAAAUGUUGAAGCAACGUACACUGGACUAUUGGGUCUGAAGCAACAAAAGUCUGUAAUUCUACUUGGUGGCCUUGCAAAGGUAGUAUAUGGGGAAGAAACUAAUGGAUUUGAACAAUUGAUUGAUCCACUGAAGUAUCAUAGAUGUGUGAUCACUUUCGGAUCUUCGGGAAAGGUGAUUCAGAAGACCUUGUCCGAUAAUGGUCUAAGCAUUCCCUGUAUUGGAGCUAAAAAUAUGGAGGAUGCAGUCAACUGUGCUAAGAGGAUGGCAAAAUUUGGAAAGAAAAACAAGAACGGAGAUUCUAUUUCCUUGAUAGAAAUUUCAUUAAAGAAGAAGAGAGGUGGAGAUGGGAGGAUAUGGAAGCUUCUAUUGUACCAAAUAAUACAAUUAACUACUGAAAGGUAACAAUAACUCCAAGAAGAUAAGGAAGAAUCAUGUCUUGGAUGUACAGAGAACUAUGGAAAAGCAAUCAAAGGAAAGCAUCUCUGAAUUGUGACUGGAUAUCUCAACACCCUUGGAAGCUUUGUUGUUGUGCUCAUUUCUAAAUGCUCCACAAGGAGCACAAUGGCACUGCUUAGAAUGCAAUACCUCUAAUAAAUGUCACUCCCACUUCCCUCUAGCUACACUAACAACUGAAGCACAAGUUGGCAUAAACCAAUUCAAGGACUUUCCAACUCAAGAACAGUAUUAUACAAAACUAAAUUCAAAGACCAAAAUUGUGCAAGCAACUAACUAGUGCUGAAGCAAAUAAUUAAAGGACUUUCCAUCUGUUUUCACAUACAAGAACAAUUAUAAAUGUAUAAUUAAACUAGCAAUUUCCAUUUUUUUAAAGUAAAAUUGCAGGUACUAUUUCUUUGUCAAGGGCCAGUCUGUCUGAUUAAAGCAUGAGGUACAAAUAAUUGGACAUAUGGGAGUUUGAAGACAUGAGCAUAUGGUGAACAACCUCUGUUGAAACAUUGGAAGUCAUAAAAGCUAUAACAGAAGAUGGGAUGCUAUUGUACUCAGUCCAGGUUGUGCGAGCUUUGAUGAAUUCAGAAAUUUUGAGCACAGAGGUUUGGUUUUUCAGGAG